CCAGGAGGUCAAAGCUGCAGUGAGCUGUGAUUGCAGCACUGUGCUAGCCUGGGCAACACAGAGAGACCCCAUCUCUUGAAAACAAAACAGAACAGGCCUCCUUGAGAAGUGUCAUUCCACCUGUUAUGAAUCCAGGCUUAAUCCAAAGCCCCUACUCUCACUUCUUCCAGGUUCCCUCCUGGCCCCGCUGCCCCUCCCUGAUCCUUCAGCCCCAGGCAUCCUGUAGUAUCCGAGUGAGAUAAAGGCAGACUUUGGCUCCUCUGAUAAACUUCAGCAGUGUGGAUCUCUCCGCCCCACGUCAUGAGUGAUCAACGUUCUUCUGUGGAGACUCCUGGCGUCCAGCUGAAAGUCGUGCGGCUGAGACCUCCGCGGUGCCACAGAGAAAAUAGGUGUGGGGGCUGCACGGGGCCUUGAAAACUACCCAGAUACCCCCGUGGAGAACGCUGGUGGGAGACUGGGCGUUCCUCAAAGUCCCGAGUGGCACAGCUGUUAGUGCUCAUCUCCAGAAACCCACAGCACCUGCCCCCACGAAAUCUGUGGAGAACACGAGCAGGCGGUGCAAAUAAUUCUGACUCCUCGGCGGAAGAACAGGAAUAAGAAGGCCCGGCCUGGCCGUGGGUUGCUGGGUGAAAAGCAGCAUUGCAUUCGAAAGAGUAAGCGUUCUGAGGGCCGAGGGGAAGAGGCGACAUGCAAGUUCCCACGGAGAGGAAGAAUUGUUAAUGGCAAAAGAAUCCCAAUGGAAGAAUCCCCACUGUCCUCUCCUCAGGCUGAUGGCAAAACUUCUCCCACCCAGAUGACCUCCCUCCACCAACACCUGAGAGGCCCUCAGGCGAUCUGAUGCGAGGCCAGGCCGCUGGGGGCCUCCGGCAGGGACAGUCCGCAGAAGGAGGAAGGCAGAUGGCAGAAGCGGCAGUGCUGUCCGGUAGGGAAGGCCCCGACGUCCGCCCUUCCCCAGACCGUGGGCUCCCCUCGCUUCCAGGGGUGGAGGAGAGAAGAGCUGGAGAAACGUGCCACGACUCAAACAAAUUUACUUCCGUGGUGGAUUCUGAUUUUUUUGAACAAAAUGAGGUUUCUUUCUGUGGUCCAACCUACCACCCUCAUAUUUCCAGCAGAAGGAACAUGAAAUGAAAAAGGAAAAAAGCCCUUACAAUAUCAUACGAGUUUCUCUACCAGCACAUCAUGCUGGUGUCCUAAAGAAGCCAGACAGCAGAGUUAACGGGUACAAGUUUAAACGUUGUCAUCAUAUUUUAUUCUGUGUUCAAAACCACUUUCGUGAUUUCCCUAAUAACACAUGCAAAGUCUCCUUUGAAGUUAUGGAAGAGGGGCGGUGUGUGUGUUUUCUAUUUUUCUUUUUUCUAAAUGUACCGAUAGGCUGGCCUGGGCUGGGAUUGGAUAGAGAAGUUGAGAGAAAAGGCAGAAACCACCUGUCUCUUGAAGUUUGCCUGCUGGUCCCCUAGCAACUGGUUUCUUGUUUGAGGCAUAUUUGAGCCAUAUAGGGAAGACUCAGAAUGCUGUAAAGGGGCACAGAAUUACUCUCCCACUGGAUAAUGAAGUUGUUUUUAAUUACAAUAAUAUAAACACUACAUUUAAGCAGCAGUGAAGGAAAGCAGGAAGUUUGCAGAAUGAGCUUUUCUGAGUUACCGUAUCUGCUGUUGUGACAAGAGGAGCAGGUGUGUGCUAGGGGCCACCAUUGACUUCUGGCUUGCAGGAGCCUGAGUCGCUCAUUCAGCUUUGUCCGUGCCCACAGGGGCCAGGCAGGCUGCAGUCACAAGGGAGUUAAACAGGCGAGACACUGGAGAGCAGAGCUGGGCCUCGAGGGAGGCCGCUGUGUGAACUUGUAGGAGGCAUUCGCUCCUGGAGGUGCAAAAGCCGACGAUGUGCUUGCAUGGCUCUGAGAGCAAGACCACAGGCAUUUAGCACCUGGGUCCCUCACCUGCCUUGCCCCAGGCCCCUCUGGAGAGGACAUGUCCCACCUAGAGUGGCAUCUGCAGCUGAAUGCUGCCAUGUGAAACAGAGCCCGGUUACUGGACCACUUGGUAAAGAAACAACAGAAAUCUAGAUUUUUUGGGGUGGAGAGAUGAACUGAAAUCUCCCA
rnacentral:lncRNA from 1 species